GUUCAUAAUGUUCAAUAGCCUGAUGGUUGUUGGGAAGAAGCUGUUCUUGAACCUGGACGUUACAGUUUUCAGACUCGUAUACCUUCUUCCCCAUGGCAGGAGUGAAAUGACAGCGUGGCCGGGGUGGUGAGGGUCUUUGCUGCCUU